rnacentral:rRNA from 1 species
AUUGAACGCUGGCGGCAGGCCUAACACAUGCAAGUCGAGCGGAUGAUGGGAGCUUGCUCCUGGAUUCAGCGGCGGACAGGUGAGUAAUGCCUAGGAAUCUGCCUGGUAGUGGGGGACAACGUUUCGAAAGGAACGCUAAUACCGCAUACGUCCUACGGGAGAAAGCAGGGGACCUUCGGGCCUUGCGCUAUCAGAUGAGCCUAGGUCGGAUUAGCUAGUUGGUGAGGUAAUGGCUCACCAAGGCGACGAUCCGUAACUGGUCUGAGAGGAUGAUCAGUCACACUGGAACUGAGACACGGUCCAGACUCCUACGGGAGGCAGCAGUGGGGAAUAUUGGACAAUGGGCGAAAGCCUGAUCCAGCCAUGCCGCGUGUGUGAAGAAGGUCUUCGGAUUGUAAAGCACUUUAAGUUGGGAGGAGGGGUUGUAGAUUAAUACUCUGCAAUUUUGACGUUACCGACAGAAUAAGCACCGGCUAACUCUGUGCCAGCCGCCGCGGUAAAAC